UACGGAGGGUGCAAGCGUUAUCCGGAUUCACUGGGUUUAAAGGGUGCGUAGGUGGGUUUGUAAGUCAGUGGUGAAAUCUCCAAGCUUAACUUGGAACUGCCGUUGAUACUAUAAAUCUUGAAUGUUGUGGAGGUGAGCGGAAUAUGGUCAUGUAGCGGAUGAAAUGCUUAGAUAUGAACAUAGAACACCAAUUGCGAAGGCAG
rnacentral:rRNA from 1 species